rnacentral:rRNA from 1 species
UACCAGCACCCCGAGUGGUCGACGAUUAUUGGGCCUAAAGCAUCCGUAGCCGGUUCUACAAGUCUUCCGUUAAAUCCACCUGCUUAACAGAUGGGCUGCGGAGGAUACUAUAGAGCUAGGAGGCGGGAGAGGCAAGCGGUACUUAGUGGGUAGGGGUAAAAUCCGUUGAUCCAUUGAAGACCACCAGUGGCGAAGGCGGCUUGCCAGAACGCACUCGACGGUGAGGGAUGAAAGCUGGGGGAGCAAACCGG